rnacentral:rRNA from 1 species
UACGAGGGGUGCAAGCGUUGCUCGGAAUUAUUGGGCGUAAAGGGUAGGUAGGUGGUCUCAUUUGUCUGGGGUGAAAGCCUUGAGCUUAACUCAAGAAGUGCCCCGGAAACGGUGAGACUGGAGUCCUGGAGAGGGUCGUGGAAUUCCCGGUGUAGCGGUGAAAUGCGUAGAGAUCGGGAGGAACACCAGCGGCGAAGGCGGCGACCUGGACAGGUACUGACACUCAACUACGAAAGCGUGGGGAGCAAACAGGG